ACGAACGCUGGCGGCACGCUUAACACAUGCAAGUCGAACGAGAGAAGAGAAGCUUGCUUUUCUGAUCUAGUGGCGGACGGGUGAGUAACACGUGAGCAAUCUGCCUUUCAGAGGGGGAUACCGAUUGGAAACGAUCGUUAAUACCGCAUAACAUAAUUGAACCGCAUGAUUUGAUUAUCAAAGAUUUAUCGCUGAAAGAUGAGCUCGCGUCUGAUUAGCUAGUUGGUAAGGUAACGGCUUACCAAGGCGACGAUCAGUAGCCGGACUGAGAGGUUGAUCGGCCACAUUGGGACUGAGACACGGCCCAGACUCCUACGGGAGGCAGCAGUGGGGAAUAUUGCACAAUGGAGGAAACUCUGAUGCAGCGAUGCCGCGUGAGGGAAGAAGGUUUUAGGAUUGUAAACCUCUGUCUUCAGGGACGAAAAAUGACGGUACCUGAGGAGGAAGCUCCGGCUAACUACGUGCCAGCAGCCGCGGUAAUACGUAGGGAGCGAGCGUUGUCCGGAAUUACUGGGUGUAAAGGGAGCGUAGGCGGGAUCGCAAGUCAGAUGUGAAAACUAUGGGCUUAACCCAUAAACUGCAUUUGAAACUGUGGUUCUUGAGUGAAGUAGAGGUAAGCGGAAUUCCUAGUGUAGCGGUGAAAUGCGUAGAUAUUAGGAGGAACAUCAGUGGCGAAGGCGGCUUACUGGACUGUAACUGACGUUGAGGAGCGAAAGUGUGGGGAGCAAACAGGAUUAGAUACCCUGGUAGUCCACGCCGUAAACGAUGAUUACUAGGUGUGGGGGGACUGACCCCUUCCGUGCCGCAGCAAACGCAAUAAGUAAUCCACCUGGGGAGUACGACCGCAAGGUUGAAACUCAAAGGAAUUGACGGGGGCCCGCACAAGCAGUGGAGUAUGUGGAUUAAUUCGAAGCAACGCGAAGAACCUUACCAGGUCUUGACAUCGUAUGCAUAGCUCAGAGAUGAGUGAAAUCUCUUCGGAGACAUAUAGACAGGUGGUGCAUGGUUGUCGUCAGCUCGUGUCGUGAGAUGUUGGGUUAAGUCCCGCAACGAGCGCAACCCUUACUGUUAGUUGCUACGCAAGAGCACUCUAGCAGGACUGCCGUUGACAAAACGGAGGAAGGUGGGGAUGACGUCAAAUCAUCAUGCCCCUUAUGACCUGGGCCUCACACGUACUACAAUGGCUGUCAACAGAGGGAAGCAAAGCCGCGAGGUGGAGCAAACCCCUAAAAGCAGUCUUAGUUCGGAUUGUAGGCUGCAACCCGCCUACAUGAAGUCGGAAUUGCUAGUAAUCGCAGAUCAGCAUGCUGCGGUGAAUACGUUCCCGGGCCUUGUACACACCGCCCGUCACGCCAUGGGAGUCGGUAACACCCGAAGCCUGUAGUCUAACCGCAAGGAGGACGCAGUCGAAGGUGGGAUUGAUGACUGGGGUG
rnacentral:rRNA from 1 species